rnacentral:snRNA from 1 species
AUACUUAUUUGGCAAGGGAGAUACCAUGAUCAUGAAGGUCGUUUUCCCAGGGUGAGGCUUAUCCAUUGACUCCAGAUGUGCUUACCCGUGCAAUUUCCCCUAAUGUGGGAAACUUGACUACAUAAUUUGUGGUAGUGGGAGACUGUGUUCACUCUCUUUCC